UGACUUCCCUGGUCUAAGCCAGCUUCGGUCUCACCGGGAUUAUGGCUGCCAUCCCAUGCUCACUGUGUACUUCCUCUUGUCCUCCCUCAAGAGAAAGUAUAAAUCAGCUCUCAUCUCCCCACUGAUUCAAGUCCUCCGAAGACUGCCCAGCUGCAAUUACAGCAAAUCCCAAACAUUUCGCCUCGGUCUUCAGGCUCGUCCCCACAAGUGCCAAUCGACCUGUGGAUGACAUUGAAAAUAAAACAAAGUCCUUGGAUCCAAUACCUGAUGCUCCUCCUGACUACACUGCCAUUUAAGUUCAGCAGAUCCAAAACCUGAUGACCAUCCAGAGCAUAAUCCCCAUUAUAUAUCCGAAAUCUGAUUCUCUUGACUGUGGUCUUAUUUACAUUGACCAAGCUGAAAUUAAACUGACCCCUGGUUGAAAGAGAACAGUGUGGAAACAGAUGAGGAUAUAAAGAAGUGACUGGGCUAGCAACAAUACAGCAGUCUUCAAGUCACCAUU